GCUGAGGGGGAGGCGGAGGGAAACCGCACCCUGCCUCUUUCCUGGGCCGAGGCCAGCCCGGGAGGAAAUGUUGAAACGAACGAAGUGUACAUCGGUCCCCAGGCCUGCGGGGUCUAGAGCUCAGGCCGCAGCGACCCCGCCCUCCCCAGCCCUUCUGGCCGGACCUCCGCCUCGGACCUGCAAGCCCUGACGCUGGGAGGCGGUUCCCGAGGGAGCCUGGACUCUCCCCCAGUUCAGCCCCGCCAAGACCUGUGCGCUUUCAGAUGAGAGCACUUGUUCACCGAAUGACCGUGCCUACUUGGGGAACAUCUGGCCCCAGAACCUGGAGGAGCAGGGCAGCCAUUGUUCAUGAGUGCGUGUGCUCAGUUCUGGACACACCGCCAUGCACGGAUGCGCGUUAACAUGCUUUGUAGAGAAGAAAUGGGGUCAGGAUAUCAUAAACUGAGCUCAUGGGUAAUGAGUAUUCAUCAAAUGCCAAGCUCUUGGUCUGAGCACUUUGCAUAUAUUAAUUUAAUCCUCACAAACCUUAAAUAGUAAGGUUUGUUACUAUGACUCAUUUUUCAGAUGAGGAGCCUGUGACACAGAGAGGUUAAGUAGCCUACCCAGGAUCACACAGCUACUAAGUCCUGGAGUCAAGAUUUGAGCCUGGCUCCGGAGCUUGUGAGGUAACGAGGCCUCCCACUUUUCCAUGUGUAUUGUUCCAUGAAUUGCUGUUUCCACUAAGAAUAUGUUCUUUUCUGCCAGCAGUGGAAGAUUCCUAGAAGAGGAACUGCUGGCUCUGAGAUUUCUAGAGACAUUGGUAAACCCUCCAUACCGUGGGGACCUUACACCAGCCUGCAGGUUCAAGCUCCAUACUGGACCUCUAUCCCCACCCAGCCCCCAGAAAAGUAGCUGGGAUUCCAGGCGUCUGCUGCCCCUUCAGGUCAUGAAGUGAGGAAGAGGGAAACUUCAACAGGCCCAUGUGGCCCUGAUAAUGGGCACGGUGACAUUUGGGCAGAGAACCCCAGGGCCCUGCAUAUACAGACCUGGGACCAGCAGAGAAUGCCCAAUGGGGGUGCUAGUGGCAUUGCCUGGCCAUGGCUCUGUCCAGCUGUGGCAUCAUAUCCCAUGGCCAAAGUGUCCAAGCAAGCCUGCUUCUGCCAUUGACCUAGGGAGGGCUGUUGACGCCUGCUUAUUUUCCAAGCCUGUUCCUCCUGCAUCGUCAAGAUUCUGAGCGCCCUCCAAAAUAAGAUCUUUUUCUGUAGUUGUUACUGUGGGUAAAAAACCCUCCUGUCUAAUUGCAAACUUCUAAUUUUUGCCAAUCUGAUAAGCAAAAAAAAAAGGGGGGGGGAAUUAUUUCAUGGAUUUAGUUUCCAUUUCCUUUUUAAUAGGGAGGUUGGGUGGAGACUCAUUGCUUUAAAUAAAGUCCAUUCUUGGCCAGA